GACAGAGGGUGCAAACGUUGUUCGGAAUUACUGGGCGUAAAGCGAGUGUAGGCGGUUUGAUAAGUCGGAUGUGAAAGCCCCGGGCUCAACCCGGGAAGUGCACUCGAUACUGUCAAGCUAGAGUAUCGGAGAGGUUGGUGGAAUUCUCGGUGUAGAGGUGAAAUUCGUAGAUAUUCGGAAGAACACCAGUGGCGAAGGCGGCUCACUGGCCCGGUACUGACGCUGAGGUGCGAAAGCGUGGGGAGCAAACAGG
rnacentral:rRNA from 1 species